AGAGUUUGAUUAUGGCUCAGGAUGAACGCUGGCGGCGUGCCUAAUACAUGCAAGUGAAACGGGUAUCUUCGGAUACCAGUCGCGGACGGGUGAGUAAUACAUAGGCAACCUGCCUUUAUGAGGGGGAUAACCGAGGGAAACUUUGGCUAAUACCGCAUGAAGACUCUAAGGCAUCUUAGAGGGAUAAAAGUUGGGAAACAACGCAUGAAGAUGGGCUUAUGGCGCAUUAGCUAGUUGGUGAGAUAGAAGCCCACCAAGGUAAUGAUGCGUAGCCGACCUGAGAGGGUGAACGGCCACAUUGGGACUGAGACACGGCCCAAACUCCUACGGGAGGCAGCAGUAGGGAAUUUUCGGCAAUGGGGGGAACCCUGACCGAGCAACGCCGCGUGAAAGGAAGAAGGUUUUCGGAUUGUAAACUUCUGUUAUAAGGGAAGAACGGAUUGGAUAGGGAAUGAUCUGAUAGUGACGGUACCUUAUUAGAAAGCCACGGCUAACUACGUGCCAGCCGCUGC
rnacentral:rRNA from 1 species